rnacentral:rRNA from 1 species
CAGAGUUUGUCCUGGCUCAGGAUGAACGCUAGCGGCAGGCUUAACACAUGCAAGUCGAGGGGCAGCGGGGUGUAGCAAUACACUGCCGGCGACCGGCGCACGGGUGCGUAACGCGUAUGCAACCUACCCAUAACAGGGGCAUAACACUGAGGAAAUUGGUACUAAUUCCCCAUAACAUUCGAAGAGGCAUCUCUUUGGGUUGAAAACUCCGGUGGUUAUGGAUGGGCAUGCGUUGUAUUAGCUAGUUGGUGGGGUAA